AAACAGGAAAAGAAAAA
rnacentral:sRNA from 1 species